UUUUUACCUUGCUGUAGGACACAUGUUGAAACGGACCAAUGCAUAAACGGUUAAAUGGUGGCAAAGCAGCCACAUUUUUCAAGCAGUUGUGUGCUCACCAAUCAAACUUAAGCUGUUACGUUUACUCAUUAACGACACCACAAGGCCUGCUGGUUGCCAUUGUUUUUGUCUAGUCGAGCUCUUAUGUUUACUCUCGCGGAACCACGAGGCGUGCUGGCUGCAGUUGUUUUUGUCUAGUCG